AUUGCGAUUAGCUGCUAUCUCCCAGUUCAAGCACUUUUGUGUCUGGACACUGGUUCCUGUGGAUGGGGUGUUACAAGCUUUACUGUCUGAUAUAGAAGUGAUGAGCAUUCAUAAGGACACAUGCCAGAAAGGGAGUCUCUUUGGGAUGACAAACCCUCAUCACCUCAUGAGGAUACAAUGGUUGACGAAUGGUUCUCAAGCACAUCGAAACUUCCAACAAAUAAUUCAUGAAAAAGCCAGUCAGUGCUAGCACCAGGAAUUGAACGUGGGCCAUCCUGCUACCAGUCAGAGAUGUUCAGUGGUGUAGCCACGAGGGGGCUAGGGGGGGCUCGAGCCCCCCCUAGUUUUCGUAUCGAGCCCCCCCCACCUUUGAGGUCGGGCUACGCCACUGGAGAUGUUACAUUUCAGGCGCUCAUUGACUUUUGGUGAAUUACUUGUUGACUUUGUCCCAAGGUGGAGCUCGCUACAGCUCAUUUGCUAUCUGUCAAUGUUGUGGCGUGUGUUGCGUUUUUCUCUUUGUGUGUUCCAGACUCAGAACGGUUAAUUUGGAUCAGGUCAGGUACGUUUCAUUUAGACAUGGCAAACAUAAAGUGGUGUUUCUCAACACAACUUAGCAGUGGUUUUCAUGCAUUACUGCUACGGCCAUUAAGCGUGAAUAGAAACCUAGCCAGAGCAGCUGAUACACAGAGAGAACAUAGCCCGUGUGUGUUUGUCUUUUCCACCGCAGCCCUUGGGUUUCCUCCCUGAUGGCUACACAUGUCAGGGAUAGGUUUCAGAACCGGUAGUUCCCGCCAAGUGUGAAUUGCUUUUCAGGGGAUCAUCACGCUGGCAGAUGAAACAUAUGGUUUAAAUUAUUUGCAGGACAGGAAUUGCGCAGCUUCACACAAAUACUACUACUACGACGUAAGAGUGGUUUAAAAUCUAUAUUUUUUGUGUUCCUGACAUUAUCGCACAAGAUGUAGUAUCCACUAUGAUCCUUUAUGUGGGGGGGUUUGUACAGUGCAAUCAACAGAUGCUAUUUACAAAUCUGUGUUUUCUACUGUGUUGAAAUGAGGUAGUUUGUAUGUGAGAGCCAUAGUGAAACACAGGCCCUCAAAAAACAUGGCAACACAUUGCAGGGACUCUGGAUGCUGCCUAAAUUUCCAGAACACACAGCUCAAGGCAGCGGUUAAAUAACAAGUGGUUAGAGAAAUCCAAGAAAGUUGCAUCCGUAAGCAGUCCGCUGUUGGAUUUGCUUCUGUCAGAGAUACGUUAUCUCAAAGGGAACGCACGGACACACUCAGAAUGAUACUAGGGCUGCCUGUGAAAUAGAAUGAGGAGAGGGGAAGAUAUAUAACCCUUUUUCUUGUCUGUUAUUCUAUUGGUUAAAUUGUCAUUUUCUUAGCAGCAUAUGUGUGUAUAUUCCAGAGUCUGCUAAUAAAUAUAUCAGUUUAGA